ACAUCACCCAUUUCCACCUGCAAAUAGCACAUCUGUCUAUGUGCCAGCCUCAAGAAGGGGGAUGUUGUUCAGUCCCAGCAUAUUACAGCAUCCUGUGGCAGUGACUCCAACUUCUCUGCAGUCUGAUCAUAUGCUUCUCUCACCAGACUCUCUUCUCCACUGUCUGAAACUAAGUUCUGCAACAUCCUUCUUUAAUAAAGAAAGGACGAUCACAAACAAAGGAGUAGCCUGGCUGUGGAACAGUGUCAGCAGAGCCAGAACUGUCUCAGCCAAAUGGUGAAGCAGAGGGGUACACAGAACUUCAUUAGCCUGGUUUUGUCCAGGUGCCUCGGAAGAAGGCCUAAGGAGGUUAUCUAACCCAGUCAGCCAGCCUGGAAAAAGUGAUCAAAAGAGACAGAGGGAUCAAGGUGGAACAUUGCUUUAGACUUGUCCAUAUAAAGAAAAAGAAGAAGAAAUGAAUUGUCCGAGGAAGGGUAAAUGUACUCAUACCAUGUGUUCAUUUUGCUUUAACAGGAAAAAAAAAAAUCUGACUUUUUUUUGUGACAAAUAUAAGAUUAUAUUUUCAUGGUGAUAGUUUCUCCUAUACCAGCAUUUCAGCUCCUGGGAAUCUAUUUAAAAUGUGUAACUCAUAAUUCAUAAUUGGGUAGUAUGCUUGCUAAUGCUAUUUUUGUAAGCAAAGAUCUUUUAUUUAGGUGUACCAUGAAUUAAGUUAAGAAUUUCAACAGAGUAGUAGUGUUGCUAAAUUAUAAGUUUCUAUACUAAAAGUGAUAAUACCUCCUAUCGUUAUCUAAGUGUAUUGUAUGCAAUUAUAAAGAGUAGGAAACUAAAGAGGAGAUUAAGCACUGAACAAAUGCUUUUAUUUUAGUAUGUUCUCUUUUAUUCUUUAUCUGUUUUACAACAAAACACAUCUCCUCAUAAAUGGGCCCUGAAACCAGAGUUAGUCAUGUUGUUUGCCUAAUUCUACAGAAAUUUACAUUUUGUAUUACUCAUGUAUGGUUUUCCUGAUCUUAGUCUUAAAGUUGUGCACAUUUUUUUUUUCAUAUUUUCCUCACUCUAAACCUCUCCUCAUAUCCUUAUUUCAAAACUGAAAUAUUUGAAUAAAUUCUGACAAACAAACAAGAAACAAAGUCUUACACUUGCCUACAUAAAAUCUUUCAGGUAGCCAUUGAAUGAUCUUGGCACACUGUGUAAAAUUUUGCUGAUCAGUAGGUACUUCUGGUGUAUACUAAAUCUUAGAGAAUGAAAUCUUUGUAAUCUGUGCAUACAAAGUGGUGUCGCUUCCUUGAAUGGGAGUUUGUGAACUCUUCAGGUUCCUAGAGCUUUGAAUCAAUCAAAAUUAUGUGUGUUUAUUUUCACAAGGAAAAUCCAUUUGACACGUGGUUUUGUUUUCAGUUUUUCCAGGAACCCAUGUUAGUGCUCUAUUUCAUUGUUACAUUUAAACUUCCUUUCACAGAAGUUUCAAAAAUCUGAUUGUUUCUAGAAAUGCUAAACUGUUACAUUUUAGUACAAACAAAAGAUCUCUUGGUUAAAAAAAGAUGCAAUGUUUCAACUGGCACGUAUUUAUGUGCAUAUGUUUAUGUAUAUAUAUGUAUAUAUACAUAUUCACAUGCAUGCAUGUUUUCAAUAUAUGUAUGCAUUCAGUGUAUCACAGGUGUAUAUAUGCAUAUUCAUAUAUAUAAAAUAUAGUUUUAUGUAUAUAACACUUAUAUAAUGAAUAAGUAAUAAAUAUAACGCAUCAUGGACUGUGAUAACAAAGAUAGACUAAAACUUGAGCAGAAUCCCAGAAUGUCCAGGUGAAUUUUUGUCUUUAAAGUUUUGUUGUUAAAGUCUUUAAAGUACCAUUUUCUUUAUUGUUACAAUUUUAGUAAAGCUGGAAUAAGAGGAAAAUAAAAGCAAUUCAACACAAAA